GUAAAUGCCAUCAGCCCUGUCGAAAUGGAGGCAAAUGUACUGGUAAGAAUAAAUGCAAGUGCUCCAAAGGCUACCAGGGAGACCUGUGUUCAAAGCCUGUCUGCGAACCCGGCUGUGGCCUGUACGGCACCUGUGCUGAGCCCAACAAAUGCCAGUGCAAAGAAGGCUGGCAUGGGAGACACUGCAAUAAAAGGUACGGAGCCAGCGGUCUGAGUGCCCUGAGGCCAGCAGGCAGCAAGCAGAGGCAGCACACGCCUUCGCUGAAAAAGGCCGAGGAGAGGCAUGUUCCACCCGAAUCCAAUUAUAUCUGGUGAACUCCAACAUCUGAAACGGUUCGUGUUACACAAAGUUCAUAGCCUUCAUUAACCUCUCAUGGAUUGAAUGUUAAAACGCUGUUCAUUACAGUUAAGAUUACCGGCUGGAAUUUUAUUAGCUUCAUUAUAAACCACUGAGCUGAUAUUUACUAUUCCUUUUAACUUUUAUAAAUACUUCUAUAGCAUGAUUAUAUAGGCUUCUUCUUUCAGUGCUUUGGAUGGUGUUUUGUACUAUACUUCAGUUAUGUUUAAACUUCCUUUUUUGAUUAUAUAGCGGCAAAUAUUUUCCAAAAAUUAAGUAACAAUAUUCAAGCAGAAAACCUUGUAGAUGCUAACCCGAAUCAUUUCAACGACUACAGAUUUAAUUUGCCUACGACAAAGGGAAGGUGCAUUUUACAUUUUUGCUAUUGUGUAUUUAGACUUUUCCCUAAGAAAAAUAAAUAAAACAAAUAAGUUGCUUAAUUUAAAAACUGAAUAACUCAAUUCAAUGUUAUUUUUGGCCUUACGGUUUUGCAAAGUACUGUGUAUUAAAAAUACGCUGCAGUGGUGCCAUUUAACCAACGUAAUAUAUUGUAAACAAAGUAGAAUUAUAAUGUAUGAACUUUCUGCAUCGGCUUGAAGCAAUAUAAUAUAUUGUAAACAAAACAGCUCUUAUGUAAUAAACUUUUUAUACUGACGGUUAUGUAUAAAAUAAAGAUGCUGCUUUAGUUUUUCGA